rfam:Culex pipiens quinquefasciatus supercont3.183 genomic scaffold, whole genome shotgun sequence.
AACCCUAGGCAGGGGAUCACUCGGCUCGUGGAUCGAUGAAGACCGCAUUUAAAUGCGAGUCAUAAUGUGAACUACAGGACACAUGAACAUUGACAAGUUGAACGCAUAAUACACAUCGUACAACGCGAUGUACACAAUUUUGAGUGCUU